rnacentral:lncRNA from 1 species
GGACAAAGCCUUGCAUGAAGGCUUUGAGUCCUGAAGAGGAGGUAAACAGACAUGGGGCCCAGUUCCAGCCUGGCCAGUGUCACCCCGGGCAGAUCGGAUCAUCUCUGAGUCUUAGCUUUCCUCCAGGGAAAAUGAAGACCCUUCCAGUAGUACCAAACACAAUGGAGACCUUCCAGAAGUACCAAACCCAACAGAGACCUCCUAGGAGUACCAAACCCAAUGAAGACCAGCUCUCAAUGCUCUCUACACCUAGGAGUUAUCCCGGCCUCCUCCUCUAAGUUGUUUUCC